GCUCAGCUGCGGUUCGUCGGUCGGUUCUGAGCCUCAGCUUGACAGAUGUUUUUGGAGUGUCGUUCGUCAUAGUCUCGCCGUCGGGAUCCGUGGUCCGUCGCCCGUCGUGUCGUGUGCCCCUGGUUCCCUGUUGUUCCGAAGAUAGUUUUGCGGAUCUUGGGUUGGCCAGGCCGUCUCUCCCGGAUUCAAGUUGGGUUCUUUUGUGGAAAAUCCUUUGACAGCCAGCCUGCUAAGUUUUGGUGGUGAAGUGAAAAUCUCCGAGCGCCCACCACCAGUUUGGCGAAUUUUCCAAGGGAUCCGUGAAAAUGUCAAACCAACGGGGCGAGGACAUGCUUCUGGCGAAGAAGGUUUCUGCGGCCGCCGCAGCUACUGCUGUGACGAUCUACUAGGUUGUAAGGUGGUCCAGAUUUCCGGACUCCGGACGAAUCUCCUCAAGCUCGAGGAAAAACGCAGGCCGAGACACACAGGCAGGGGUGGUGCAUUUUCCAAGCCCCACAGAAUUCACACUUGUAUUUUUGGGGAGUGUGAGAGAGUUUUCCGUCGUCGUCCAUCGAAGCAACCCCAGCAGAAGAGGCAAACAAGCAGCAAGCAGUCCGUGCCAGCUUCGAUAGCUCCCCGAAAAAAAAAAACGUGCGCGCCUGUGUGUGUUUGUGUGAAUUUGGCAGUGUGUGCGUGCACUGUGCGCACGUGUGUCUGUGUGUCGGCAAGCAAUUCUAGCAGGCCGUGCGUGCGGGAAAAUCAGAAAAUCAAGAAGAAAGCUCAGGCCAAAAGGAAAACUCACUUAUCUGGGUGUUCGUUUUUCCACGCCACCCUCGAUACAAACACACACACACAUACAGACGGCAGGCAUUGUUUUGUUUGUGUGUGUGCGUGCGCUGAAAAUUCGGCGAUAGAGCGAGCGAGUGUUAUCUCCAAGAAAGAGAAACAAGCAGAGAAAGAGAGAGUAGAGUGUUGCCGAUUGUGAAAAGAACUUAAUUGAAAAGUGAUUCAUUAUAGUUAUUGGCUGAGUGCGUUUUGUUAGGGUUCGUGGAGGCCACCCACACCUCCAGCAGCGGCGGCGACUCCCCGGCUAAACCGUCCGCGUACACAACCCCACUCACACACUCAAACACCAUCAAGCCUAAACAAGAGCGAGCGGCUUAAGUUUAGUCGCGGUCUAAGCACGCGCUAUUUAAGCUAUUUCAAGAUCUCAUACACCAAAAAAAUAAACCACACACACACAGUAAGCCAUGACGAAGCGGUUCGAGUUUAACUGGCAGAUCCCGGUGCCGGAAGUGCUCCAGAAUGGGUGCGUCUUCGACCGGUGGACCGAGGAGAAGGAUAACAACGAAUUUGAGCCAGACUGCCUGUUCAAGGUGGACGAGUACGGCUUCUUCGUCUACUGGAAGAGCUCGGGGCGGGAAGGUGAUGUGAUAGAGCUUUGCCAAGUCAGUGAUAUCCGUGCCGGUGGAAUGCCAAAGGACAUGAAACUGUUCAACCAGCUGUGCAACAAACACGGCGAAAAUGUGGAGGAAAAGUCGCUCACAAUCUGCUCCGGUACGGACUACAUCAACAUCAACAUGCAGCACGUGGUCUGUCCGGAUGCGGCCACGGCCAAGGUUUGGCUCGAGGGUCUCCGGAAAAUCACCCACAACGGCAAAGCAAACAACUUUUGUCCGAUGACUGCGCUCAAGAAGCAUUGGAUGAGGCUGGGAAUGCUGGUCGAUGCCAAGGGAAAAGUACCUGUGAAAGUGGUGGCCAAAACAUUCGCCUCCGGUAAAACUGAAAAGCUAGUCUACCAAAUCCUGUCGGAUCUCGGGCUGCCGAGCAGCAAAAAUGACGCCAUCGAGAAGGCGGACUUUACGUUCGAAAAGUUCUACGAACUGUACCACAAGAUCUGCCCCAGAAAUGACAUCGAGGAGCUGUUCCGAUCGAUCACCCAGAACAAGGCAAACGAGAUCAACCUGGACCAGUUCGUCAACUUCCUCAACGAAAAGCAACGUGAUCCUCGACUGAACGAAAUCCUCUACCCGUUCUACGACGAGAAGCGCGCCCUCGAGAUCAUCAACACGUACGAGCAGGACGAGAAAGCGCGCGAAGCCAAAACCCUCACCAAGGACGGACUGAUCCGGUACCUGAUGUCGGACGAGAACGCGCCCGUGUUCCUGGACCGGCUCGACAUCUACAUGGACAUGGACCAGCCUCUGAGCCAUUACUACAUCAACUCGUCCCACAACACGUACCUGUCCGGGCGACAGUUCGGUGGCAAGAGUUCCGUCGAGAUGUACCGCCAGACGCUGCUGGCCGGCUGCCGGUGCGUCGAGCUGGACUGCUGGGACGGGAAGGGCGAGGACGAGGAACCGAUCAUCACGCACGGCAUGGCCAUGUGUACGGAUAUUCUGUUUAAGGACGUAAUCUACGCGCUGCGCGACACGGCCUUCGUCACCUCGGACUACCCGGUGAUUCUGUCGUUUGAGAACCACUGCUGCCGGGUGCAGCAGUACAAGCUGGCCAAGUACUGUGAUGAAAUCCUCGGCGAUUUGCUGCUGAAGGAGCCGCUGCCCGACUUUCCGCUGGAACCGGGAGCUCCGUUGCCUCCGCCGUCGGCGUUGAAGCGCAAGAUUCUCAUCAAAAACAAACGGCUCAAGCCGGAGGUCGAGAAGCGCGAGCUGGAGCUGUUCCUGCAGGGCGAGUUCGUCGUGGAGGACGAAGUCAAGGAAGACGCCAGCGCGGUCCGAAAGAUCGAUCCAACCGAAGAAGCAGCGGCGGUGGCCCCAACCGCGGCUGCCGCGGAAGGCGGCGAGGAAGUUGCGGUGGUUCAGUACACCGGCUCAACGACCAACGUCCAUCCGUGGCUGUCGUCGAUGGUCAACUACGCGCAGCCCAUCAAGUUCCAAACGUUUGACUAUGCCGACACGAAGAACAUUCACCACAACAUGUCGUCGUUUGCCGAAACGACCGGAAUGAAUCUGCUGAAGCAACAGGCCAUCGACUUUGUCAACUACAACAAACGCCAAAUGUCUCGCAUCUACCCCAAGGGAACCCGUGCCGAUUCGUCCAACUACAUGCCCCAGGUGUUCUGGAACGCCGGCUGUCAGAUGGUGUCCCUCAACUUCCAAACCUCCGAUCUACCGAUGCAGCUGAACCAGGGAAAGUUCGAAUACAACGGCAACUGUGGCUAUCUGCUGAAGCCCGAUUUCAUGCGACGAGCGGACCGAAAUUUCGACCCAUUCGCCGAUGCCCCCGUGGAUGGUGUGAUUGCUGCGUCCUGUGGCGUACAGGUCAUUGCCGGUCAGUUCUUGUCCGACAAGAAGGUGGGAACCUACGUCGAGGUGGACAUGUACGGUCUACCGUCGGACACCGUCCGAAAAGAGUUCCGAACCCGUCUCGUCCCGGCUAACGGUCUCAACCCGGUCUACAAUGAAGAACCGUUCCUCUUCCGUAAGGUGGUCCUUCCAGAUCUUGCCGUGCUUCGGUUCGGAGUCUACGACGAAAACGGAAAACUUCUCGGACAACGAAUCCUCCCGCUGGACGGUCUCCAAGGUGGCUACCGGCACAUCUCCCUCCGUACCGACGCCAACUUCCCCAUGUCCCUGCCCAUGUUGUUCUGUAACAUCGAGCUGAAGAUCUACGUCCCGGACGGCUUCGAAGACUUCAUGGACGCGUUGUCCGACCCGCGCGCCUUCAUGGGUGCCGCCAAGGAGCGGUCGGACAACAUGAAGGCCAUGGGCAUUGAAGAGUCCAGCUCGGGAGCGGCAGCCGACGCCACCAAGGGCACUAAGACUACCGAAGUUACCGAACCGCCGCUGGUCUUCGAUCCCAUCACAGUGGAAUCACUCCGCCAGGAGAAAGGGUUCCAAAAGACUGCCAAAAAGCAGCAAAAAGAACUCGACAGCGUAAAGAAGAAGCACGCCAAGGAACGGGCCGGCGUCCAGAAGACACAGAACGCUGCCAUCGAACGGUUGAUCAAGGGAAAGAGCAAAGAGGAAAUCAAAGCCGAUCCCGCCAUCCGGAAGGUGAUCCAGGAGCAGAACGCCACCUGGAGCGAGAUGAUCGAGCGCCACAAGAAGGAAGAGUGGGACCUGCUGAAGACGCAACUGAACGACCAGAAGGAGAUCCUGCGAAAGCUGAUGGAAACGACCCAGGCCGCGCAGAUGAAGCAGCUCGAGGCCAAACACGAACGCGAGGUCAAGAACCUGAACAGCCAGCAGGCGAAAAUCUCCGUCGAAACUUCGAAGGAGGUCGCCAACGACAAAACGCUCAAGACCAAGGGCGAAAAGGACCGGCGACUGCGCGAGAAGAAGCAGAACAACAUCAAGCGGUUCAUGGACGAGAAGAAGACUGCCGGCAUCAAGCAGAACCGCGAGAAGGAAAAGCUAAAGGUGACCCACGACAAGCAGCUCGAGGAGCUGGACAACGACGUGCAAAAGGUACAAAACGCGUACAGGGAGAUUGUUACGCUAGAAACGGUGGUGUAGUAGCGUAGCGUAGCCUCCGAAACCACCCCACCCACACCAAUGGUCACAACAACGCACACGGACGCGCCCGCGGCGCAUUCCGUGUAUUUGCCAAAACCGAUCUGUGUUACGUAGAUCUUACUCUAUUUCUUAUGUAAAUUUUGGUUAAGUUUUGUUAAGUUUCGGUUUAGAGUAGCUAAUUUCCGUUCAGUUGUUCUCAGAGUAGAUUUACGAUAAGUUCACGCGCGUACCUUAUCCUGCUUCAGUUGAUGUUUCUUCCCCCCUCCUGCCCAACUCUCUUGAGUGUAUUGUGUUAACACAAUUUUGAAACAUGCUCCAGAUCUUCAGUUUUGCUGCCGACACCUCAUCCAAAUGUACGUGGUCGAGGAGGAGGAGUACAAGCUGACCAGCAAGAUGGAGUUUUACGCUUAAAGUGCUGGCCGCUGCCACGAGAUGAUACAACCGAGCAAAACUCAUGCAAACAAUCUGAAAAUCUAGAGGAAAAAAAGAACAACUAAUAAUCAUAUGUAUAUGAGUACGAAAACCCCAUAUUUUAGAGAAAUAUUCAACAACAACAAUAUGCUCUAUAAUCAUAUGAAAUGUAUCAUGUUGUGCAAAAGUCUUUAGGAGAACCAAAAAAAUAAAGAAUUAGAAAAUAAAAAAAACAACAGCAACACUAAUAGUAUUAACAAAACAAACCAACUACAUUUACUAUGAUAGCAAACAAAAAAAAACAAAACAUUUAGAAAAGAGAGAGAGAGUAAUCAAAGUGAGAUUAGCUGUUUUAGAAACCAUCAAUUUCGUGAACAAAAUGAGAGGUAUCUUUAUAUACUGACUUGUAGUGUGUGUGAACUAAGCAAACAAACAAACAAAAAAAUACUAAAAAGAGAUGUUGAUCCUUUCGCACUGAUAGAAUGUUAUUAGAGUUGCAAAUAAAGCAAAAACAACAAAAAAAACACAAGGAAGGGGAUUCAGAAUCAUCCUACUAGUAAGACCGCGGGAACAAAUAAAAUUCGAAAAUCAUUAUGAAAAAAAAAACAUUUUAAACUAGACAAUUUCAACUGCCUUUCUUUAGCAAUGUUGUUGCGUUAAGUUUGUUUCGAUUUUUGCGCUUGUUUUCUUCUUUUUUGUUGCGAUACAAUUUUUUUUGGGUAGAAUGUCAAUUAGAAAUGAAUCUGAACAUAGUUGUUGAAUAUUUUUGCUGGAAACAUUGCAAACAUUUUUGAAUGGUUGUUUUAUUUCUCUUCGGUGAAAAAUAGCGUCACAGUUCCUUGUUUUACACAACUCUCUACGAUUUCUCAUGUGUAAGAAUGUUAAAGUCACAUAUCAAAGAUUAGACAUUAGAUUGCUUUCCAAAAUUAGUCACCCAAAAACGUUUGAAAAUAUUUGCAAUGCUCCCUUUUCUAUCUUUUUUCGAAGUAGAAACCUUAGUUCAAUUUUCUGAUAGCAAUCAACAUUGUUUCAUCUUCGGGCAGCCUCUUUUGUUCGCACUGGCCGGAGUAGAAACUAGAACAUGAUAAACCCCAAUAUAUAAGCUGGUGAAAAGUGGAGUGUGUGUCAUAAAACUUUUGAAACUUACCAAUGAAAAAUCAUAUUAAAGUUAUAUACAGAAAAAUUUAAUUUUAAAAGCAAGUUACUGAAAAUGCAAAUGCAAGAUAAGUAUUUAGGGUUAAGCUAUUAUCGAAACAAGUAUUGUAUUAUUAAAAAAUAAAAAGAAAGAGACAUCUACUUCCCCCGUUCCUCAACUCCCUCCCCAUCCACCAGACUCCUCAAGCCGAGCUCCAUUUCCUGUCCCCUAUCUCUCUCAUCAUCUUACGAAUCGUUGUUCACUUUAAAAGAAACUACAACAAAAUCAUGAGUGCCUAUAAUACGAAAAAUCAUCCCUUACUUUUUUACCAAAACAACAAGAAAAGAAAUAAAAAAGGCGUGUGUGUGUGCGUUCGAAUUUCAAUUUCUUUCAGUUCUGUGAGUACUUUUAAAAAAAAUUCUUUCAAAAAGUACCCUCAGAAUCUCAACACAAACACACACACGUUGAAAGAUAUUCAACGAAAUGAUCAGUCCUAUCCAAAGAGAGAAUAUAAUGUGUAGAAACAAUUUUCUAGUCGUUACAUUUUAAGCAUGAAAACAUUAUAACCACUUCAGUUCACUUCUCAACAACAAACUGCUGGCUGAUCUCUCCGUUCCAGCAAAACGGAGUGAAAGAAAAUCGAAAACAUCAAACACACAAAAUAAGGACUUACACGGUGUAGUAACGUUAUGUGUAUCAUUUUCAACACAACAAAUCACAAGCAGGAUUUUUUGAAACCAAAAAAAACCAACAGCAAAUCAAAUAGCAAAAAACACACACAGUUAGGGAAAGCAGUGUAUCGAAAACUCCAAUAUACUAAUCAAAUCAAAUCAACCAAACAGCAGUGAAUAGCUGAGAUCGAGAGAGAGAAAACGAUUGGCAAUCGCCAUGUGCGCGCGUGUGGUUAGGAAGAAGCUGGUUGAAGCAGGUUGAGUCAUUAACAUAAGUUUUAAAAAGCAAAAAAUUGGGAAAGUAAAAGAGCAUCCAUUAGCAAAAAA